rnacentral:rRNA from 1 species
AUGGAUUGGAAACCUAUGGUGAUAAUGGGGGCGGUGGUGGUCAUGUAUGCAGUGAUGAACGCGCUGUCCAAGAUGGUUUUUAAUGAAGGGAUGCACACCACCGUCCUCAUGAUCCUUCGCCUACUUGUCGCCACGCUCUUCCUCGGUCCGAUCGCAUACUUCAAAGAGAGGAAGAAUAGACCUAAGCUUACCAUCGAGAUCUUUGUCUACCUCUUCAUCAGUGCCUUGCUCGGAGCCUCACUGAUCCGGUGGCUCUUUUUCCUGGGCUUACCGUACACUACGGCAACGUUCGCAAGCGCGUUCAACAACACAACCCCCAUGUUCACCUUUAUCCUUGCGCUCGCCUUCAAGGUCGAGAAACUCGACGUGGCCAGCCGCCCUGGCGCCGCCAAGCUCACCGGCACGGCCGUGGGGCUGGCCGGAGCGACGGUGUUGGCACUCUACCAAGGCCCAACCCUGAUAGGGGCGCCGUCGGCGUACCACCUAGCCGCUGCUGCGACCCACGGGGAUGCACGAAGGUGGGCUCUGGGGUCGGUGGCGCUGCUGGGCUUCUCGGCGAGCUGGUCGUUGUGGUUCAUCCUACAGUCCAAGAUCGGGACAAAGUACCCGGAACUCUACUCUAGCACAACGUCGAUGUUCUUGCUCAGCUUCGUCCAGAUGGCCAUUGUCGGGGCUGCCACCGAGAAGAUGACCAUGAAAGUCUGGGUCCCCUGCACGGUCCUCCAGGGCAUCACCGUGCUCUUCGCGGGUAUCGGGGUGUCCAGGUUGGGGUUCCUGGCCAUGUCAUGGUGCGUUGAGCGGCGAGGGCCUGUGUUCACCACCGCCUUCAUGCCGCUUAUCCAGAUUGUCACCGCCGGGAUCGACGUCUCCGUCCUCUACGAGCAACUCCACCUAGGAAGUGUGGUGGGGUCGGCGAUCGUGGUCGUGGGGCUCUACUUCCUCCUGGGGAAAGAGCAAUGA